AGAGCCAGUGCCAUCAGUAGCUUGCGACCAUUCAUGGAUCAUGAAUGGUCGCAAGCUACUGAUGGCACUGGCUCU